CGCACGGGUGCGUAACGCGUAUGCAACCUACCAUCAACAGGGGGAUAACACUGAGAAAUUGGUACUAAUACCCCAUAAUAUCUCAUGCGGCAUUCGCAUGGGGUUGAAAACUCCGGUGGUUGAUGAUGGGCAUGCGUUGUAUUAGCUGGUUGGUGAGGUAACGGCUCACCAAGGCGACGAUACAUAGGGGGACUGAGAGGUUAACCCCCACAUUGGUACUGAGACACGGACCAAACUCCUACGGGAGGCAGCAG
rnacentral:rRNA from 1 species